UACGGGGGGAGCAAGCGUUGUUCGGAUUUACUGGGCAUAAAGGGCGCGUAGGCGGUCAGCAAAUGUCAGUUGUGAAAUCUCCGGGCUUAACUCGGAAAGGUCAACUGAUACUGUGCGACUAGAGUGCGGAAGGGGCAACUGGAAUUCUCGGUGUAGCGGUGAAAUGCGUAGAUAUCGAGAGGAACACCUGCGGCGAAGGCGGGUUGCUGGGCUGAUACUGACGCUGAGGCGCGAAAGCCAGGGGAGCGAACGGG
rnacentral:rRNA from 1 species